CUGAGACUCAGGUAGAAAGGGAAUUUGGGGCUCAAUUCAUCUGAGCAUAUUGAAGAGUCUACCCUGCUGUUAUUUUCCCAAAGAGGGAGGGCAGAGCUGGCAAAGAACUGACAGCGGUGGAGAGGAUCUUUCCCUUGGGCUCCUGGACACCAUAAUUAAUCUCUGCCUCUGUAGAAGUUUUACAUACAGUUUUGCUGCUGUUACCCAUUAGCUGCACUCAUACAAG
rnacentral:lncRNA from 1 species